GAUGAAGAACGCAGCGAAAUGCGAUAAGUAAUGUGAAUUGCAGAAUUCAGUGAAUCAUCGAAUCUUUGAACGCACAUUGCGCCCCCUGGUAUUCAGGGGGGCAUGCCUGUUCGAGCGUCAUUUCACCACUCAAGCCUCGCUUGGUAUUGGGCAACGCGGUCCGCCGCGUGCCUCAAAUCGACCGGCUGGGUCUUCUGUCCCCUAAGCGUUGUGGAAACUAUUCGCUAAAGGGUGUUCGGGAGGCUACGCCGUAAAACAACCCCAUUUCUAAGGUUGACCUCGGAUCAGGUAGGGAUACCCGCUGAACUUAAGCAUAUCAAUAAGCGGAGGA
rnacentral:misc_RNA from 1 species